GACGGAGGAUGCAAGCGUUAUCCGGAAUGAUUGGGCGUAAAGCGUCCGCAGGUGGCAGUUCAAGUCUGCUGUGAAAGACCGGGGCUUAACUUCGGAAAGGCAGUGGAAACUGAACAGCUAGAGUAUGGUAGGGGCAGAGGGAAUUCCUGGUGUAGCGGUGGAAUGCGUAGAGAUCGGGAAGAACAUCAGUGGCGAAGGCGGCCUGCUGGGCUGUUGCUGACGCUGAGGCGCGACAGCGUGGGGAGCAAACAGG
rnacentral:rRNA from 1 species